CUAGUGAUUUUGAAAGGGAAACGAUUGAAGUCAGUCGUACCUACGAGUAAUCAACCUACACGAGCGCGAUUUUGUGAGUAUGAGGAGGUAAAAACCUUCAUGCUUGCUAAUUGGUGUUCUUUGGGCGUACUUUCUCGUAUGGUAGGUUAACAUCAAUUUCGAUCGUUAUAAAAUGACGGGAGGAAUGUAGCUUCGACUUCGGUUGAAGUGUUAUAGCCUCUGGUAGAUGUAAUGAUUGGGAUUGAGGAUUGCAACGGAUACCCUCUGGGCUAUUCGUCUGAUCUCUGGAAGUUACCUUGGUGUCGAAAGCGUGCUUAUGACAUUAAGAAUGACGGCCAAAAGGUUAGAACGGAAUUAAAUUCGUUAAGGAUGUUGACGUA
rnacentral:rRNA from 1 species